CCUACGGGGUGCUGCAGUGAGGAAUAUUGGUCAAUGGCCGAGAGGCUGAACCAGCCAAGUCGCGUGAGGGAAGAAUGUCCUAUGGAUUGUAAACCUCUUUUGUCAGGGAGCAAAGUCACCCACGUGUGGGUGUUGGAGAGUACCUGAAGAAAAAGCAUCGGCUAACUCCGUGCCAGCAGCCGCGGUAAUACGGAGGAUGCGAGCGUUAUCCGGAUUUAUUGGGUUUAAAGGGUGCGUAGGCGGGUUAUCAAGUCAGCGGUAAAAUCGUGGAGCUCAACUCCAUCCAGCCGUUGAAACUGAUGAUCUUGAGUGGGCGAGAAGUAUGCGGAAUGGGUGGUGUAGCGGUGAAAUGAAUAGAGAUCACGAAGAACGCAGAUUGAGAAGGAAGCAGACCGGCGCCCGAUGGACGCUGAAGCACGAAAGCGUGGGUAUCGAACAGGAGUAGAUACCCCAGUAGUC
rnacentral:rRNA from 1 species